rnacentral:snRNA from 1 species
GUACUCCCUUAGAGACCACAUAUACUAAAACUGGAACAAUACAGAGAAGAUUAACAUGGCCCCUGCUCAAGGAUGACACACAAAUUUGUGAAAUAUUCCAUAUUUUU